AUUGAACGCUGGCGGCAGGCCUAACACAUGCAAGUCGAGCGGCAGCGACUUAACUGAACCUUCGGGGAACGUUAAGGGCGGCGAGCGGCGGACGGGUGAGUAAUGCCUGGGAAUAUGCCCUGAUGUGGGGGAUAACUAUUGGAAACGAUAGCUAAUACCGCAUAAUCUCUUCGGAGCAAAGAGGGGGACCUUCGGGCCUCUCGCGUCAGGAUUAGCCCAGGUGGGAUUAGCUUGUUGGUGAGGUAAUGGCUCACCAAGGCAACGAUCCCUAGCUGGUCUGAGAGGAUGAUCAGCCACACUGGAACUGAGACACGGUCCAGACUCCUACGGGAGGCAGCAGUGGGGAAUAUUGCACAAUGGGGGAAACCCUGAUGCAGCCAUGCCGCGUGUGUGAAGAAGGCCUUCGGGUUGUAAAGCACUUUCAGUAGGGAGGAAGGUAGUGUAGUUAACACCUGCAUUAUUUGACGUUACCUACAGAAGAAGCACCGGCUAACUCCGUGCCAGCAGCCGCGGUAAUACGGAGGGUGCGAGCGUUAAUCGGAAUUACUGGGCGUAAAGCGCAUGCAGGCGGCCUGUUAAGUCAGAUGUGAAAGCCCGGGGCUUAACCUCGGAAUUGCAUUUGAAACCGGCAGGCUAGAGUCUUGUAGAGGGGGGUAGAAUUUCAGGUGUAGCGGUGAAAUGCGUAGAGAUCUGAAGGAAUACCAGUGGCGAAGGCGGCCCCCUGGACAAAGACUGACGCUCAGAUGCGAAAGCGUGGGGAGCAAACAGG
rnacentral:rRNA from 1 species